rnacentral:rRNA from 1 species
UGUUUCGGCUAGGGGGCCAUCCCGGCUUACCAACCCGAUGCAAACUGCGAAUACCGGAGAAUGUUAUCACGGGAGACACACGGCGGGUGCUAACGUCCGUCGUGAAGAGGGAAACAACCCAGACCGCCAGCUAAGGUCCCAAAGUCAUGGUUAAGUGGGAAACGAUGUGGGAAGGCCCAGACAGCCAGGAUGUUGGCUUAGAAGCAGCCAUCAUUUAAAGAAAGCGUAAUAGCUCACUGGUCGAGUCGGCCUGCGCGGAAGAUGUAACGGGGCUAAACCAUGCACCGAAGCUGCGGCAGCGACACUGUGUGUUGUUGGGUAGGGGAGCGUUCUGUAAGCCUGUGAAGGUGUGCUGUGAGGCAUGCUGGAGGUAUCAGAAGUGCGAAUGCUGACAUAAGUAACGAUAAAGCGGGUGAAAAGCCCGCUCGCCGGAAGACCAAGGGUUCCUGUCCAACGUUAAUCGGGGCAGGGUGAGUCGACCCCUAAGGCGAGGCCGAAAGGCGUAGUCGAUGGGAAACGGGUUAAUAUUCCCGUACUUGGUGUUACUGCGAAGGGGGGACGGAGAAGGCUAUGUUGGCCGGGCGACGGUUGUCCCGGUUUAAGCGUGUAGGUGUGUGUUCCAGGUAAAUCCGGUUCACUUUAACACUGAGGCGUGAUGACGAGGCACUACGGUGCUGAAGCAACAAAUGCCCUGCUUCCAGGAAAAGCCUCUAAGCAUCAGGUAACAUCAAAUCGUACCCCAAACCGACACAGGUGGUCAGGUAGAGAAUACCAAGGCGCUUGAGAGAACUCGGGUGAAGGAACUAGGCAAAAUGGUGCCGUAACUUCGGGAGAAGGCACGCUGACACGUAGGUGAAGUGAUUUACUCACGGAGCUGAAGUCAGUCGAAGAUACCAGCUGGCUGCAACUGUUUAUUAAAAACACAGCACUGUGCAAACACGAAAGUGGACGUAUACGGUGUGACGCCUGCCCGGUGCCGGAAGGUUAAUUGAUGGGGUCAGCGCAAGCGAAGCUCCUGAUCGAAGCCCCGGUAAACGGCGGCCGUAACUAUAACGGUCCUAAGGUAGCGAAAUUCCUUGUCGGGUAAGUUCCGACCUGCACGAAUGGCGUAAUGAUGGCCAGGCUGUCUCCACCCGAGACUCAGUGAAAUUGAACUCGCUGUGAAGAUGCAGUGUACCCGCGGCAAGACGGAAAGACCCCGUGAACCUUUACUAUAGCUUGACACUGAACAUUGAGCCUUGAUGUGUAGGAUAGGUGGGAGGCUUUGAAGCGUGGACGCCAGUCUGCGUGGAGCCGACCUUGAAAUACCACCCUUUAAUGUUUGAUGUUCUAACGUGGACCCGUGAUCCGGGUUGCGGACAGUGUCUGGUGGGUAGUUUGACUGGGGCGGUCUCCUCCUAAAGAGUAACGGAGGAGCACGAAGGUUGGCUAAUCCUGGUCGGACAUCAGGAGGUUAGUGCAAUGGCAUAAGCCAGCUUGACUGCGAGCGUGACGGCGCGAGCAGGUGCGAAAGCAGGUCAUAGUGAUCCGGUGGUUCUGAAUGGAAGGGCCAUCGCUCAACGGAUAAAAGGUACUCCGGGGAUAACAGGCUGAUACCGCCCAAGAGUUCAUAUCGACGGCGGUGUUUGGCACCUCGAUGUCGGCUCAUCACAUCCUGGGGCUGAAGUAGGUCCCAAGGGUAUGGCUGUUCGCCAUUUAAAGUGGUACGCGAGCUGGGUUUAGAACGUCGUGAGACAGUUCGGUCCCUAUCUGCCGUGGGCGCUGGAGAACUGAGGGGGGCUGCUCCUAGUACGAGAGGACCGGAGUGGACGCAUCACUGGUGUUCGGGUUGUCAUGCCAAUGGCACUGCCCGGUAGCUAAAUGCGGAAGAGAUAAGUGCUGAAAGCAUCUAAGCACGAAACUUGCCCCGAGAUGAGUUCUCCCUGAGACUACGAGUCUCCUGAAGGAACGUUGAAGACGACGACGUUGAUAGGCCGGGUGUGUAAGCGCAGCGAUGCGUUGAGCUAACCGGUACUAAUGAACCGUGAGGCUUAACCUUACAACGCCGAAG